rnacentral:misc_RNA from 1 species
GCGGAAGGAUCAUUACCGAGUGAGGGCCCUCUGGGUCCAACCUCCCACCCAUGUUUAUUGUACCUUGUUGCUUCGGCGGGCCCGCCUCACGGCCGCCGGGGGGCUUCUGCCCUCUGGCCCGCGCCCGCCGAAGACACCAUUGAACACUGUCUGAAGAUUGCAGUCUGAGCAAUUAACUAAAUAAGUUAAAACUUUCAACAACGGAUCUCUUGGUUCCGGCA